rnacentral:tRNA from 1 species
CACUAAGAAGCUACCUCCAGCACUAGCCUUUUAAGCUAGAGAGGAAGACUACCUUCCUUAGUGA